ensembl:misc_RNA Metazoa_SRP Metazoan signal recognition particle RNA
GCCAGGCGUGGUGGCUCACUCCUGUAAUCCCAGCACUUUGGGAGGCUGAGGCAGGUGGAUCACGAGGUCAGGAGAUUGAGACCAUCCUGGCCAACAUGGUGAUGGAACACGCCCAGCUAAUUUUUGUAUUUUUAGUAGAGAUGGGGUUUCACCAUGUUGGCCAGGAUGGUCUCGAUCUCCUGACCUCAUGAUCUGCCCGCCUCAG